GGCGAGCGUUAAUCGGAAUUACUGGGCGUAAAGAGCGUGUAGGUGGAUAAUCAAGUCGGAUGUGAAAGCCCCGGGCUUAACCUGGGAACUGCAUACGAAACGGGUUAUCUAGAGUGUGGCAGAGGUAAGUGGAAUUCCCGGUGUAGCGGUGGAAUGCGUAGAUAUCGGGAGGAACACCAGUGGCGAAGGCGACUUUCUGGGCCAACACUGACACUGAGACGCGGAAGCGUGGGUAGCGAACAGGAUUAGAUACCCUGGUAGUCCACGCCGUAAACGAUGAGAACUAGCUGUUGGGAUUUUUAGAAUCUUAGUAGCGUAGCUAACGCGUUAAGUUCUCCGCCUGGAGAGUACGGCCGCAAGGCUAAAACUCAAAGGAAUUGAGGGGGGCCCGCACAAGCGGGGGAGCAUGCGGUUUAAUUCGAUGCAACGCGAAGAACCUUACCUACCCUUGACAUUAUUGGAAUCUUCCAGAGAUGGGAGAGUGCCUUCGGGAGCCAAUGAACAGGUGCUGCAUGGCUGUCGUCAGCUCGUGUCGUGAGAUGUUGGGUUAAGUCCCGUAACGAGCGCAACCCUUAUCCUUAAUUGCCAGCGAGUCAAGUCGGGAACUUUAAGGAGACUGCCGGUGAUAAACCGGAGGAAGGUGGGGACGAGGUCAAGUCAUCAUGGCCCUUA
rnacentral:rRNA from 1 species